CAGUAGAUAACUAUGGUAAGUACUAAAGGGUACUGAAUGCCUAAGGGUGGUGGCGGUAGUAGUAGUAGUAGUAGUAGUAGUCGUUGUUGUUUAGGAUACGGGCCAGCUUUUUUGAUUCGGCUGUCCUAUAGUCGUAAACGUUCCAGCUGUGAUCAUCUCGUGUAAAGCACCAAAUGGUACAGAACAAAUUAAACAGUUCAUGAAAAUACUAAGAAGGCGUGGUAGCUGUUGUUAAUUGGUCAAGCACAAGAUUUGGAGCCCAUGGAACAUAUACACAGAAAUAAUAUUUGGUAUUUGGAAGCUGUGCACAGUAUCUAGUACCAGACCCAAGAUGGAAGUUAUCAACACUGCAGUGCGUUUAGGAAAUGAUGAAGAUGACGAUGAUGACGAAGACGACAACGAAUAAGUUAAUUUUUAUAGUGGUUGAUCAGGUCAACUUUUAUUUGGAAUAGAACUUACAGUUGUUCUGUUUCGCAGAAACAUUCAAGAGACACAUCAUCUAGCGGGUGAAACGAAGCCAAAUUUGUAACGUGAGAUAUUUUAUCGCGUGUACCGAUUUUUUCAAAAUGGUGGUCUUAAAAAGCAGUCUUU
rnacentral:lncRNA from 1 species